rnacentral:lncRNA from 1 species
UGUAUUCCAGUGACAGCUGGAGGGCACCUGCCAGUCAGGCACCUGCACAGGAAUGUGGGAAAGCUGUUGUCCAAAUGCCCCAGAGCCCUUUCUUCAAGCUGUGAGUUUCCUUGGAAGCUUUUAACAGUGACCCAAGCUAGGAGUCACUGUUUUUUAAGGGAAUUCCAGCAGUUGUGUUUACUCUCCUAUGUUCUGGGGACUCCGUGGUGAGCCUUCUGACACAGAACUUUACAAAUAAAAAGAUUCAUUAGUUCCCAGCUUUUUGUGAUGUUUUUUUUUUUUAAUUUUUUUUUAUUUUUGGGACAGAGAGAGACAGAGCAUGAACGGGGGAGGGGCAGAGAGAGAGGGAGACACAGAAUCGGAAACAGGCUCCAGGCUCUGAGCCAUCAGCCCACAGCCCGACGCGGGGCUCGAACUCACCGACCGCGAGAUCGUGACCUGGCUGAAGUCAGACGCUCAACCGACUGCGCCACCCAGGCGCCCCUUUGUGAUGCUUUCUUAAACCCUUUAAACUUUGUUUUUCUCAUCCCCAAAAUGGGAAUCAUGGAAAUCCUCUUGGGAUUGUUGACGGACGUUGACGGAUGUUGGGGAACCCAGCGCGUGGUCUGGGACACGGCAUUAUCAUUGUGUGGCUCGCCGUGCUACUGAAAUCUUCAAGUCAAACACUUUCCUGGGAGAAGCCGUGAACGUGCUGACCCACGGCAGAAUGGAAGUGACCAACAGCUUCAGUGAGCUGUUCAGUGAGCUGUUCACAGUGUUUUGAACAAACGACCAGGAACCAAGAAGUCCCAAACGUUACCGCCGUUUACAGGAGCGGCUAUAAAUCCCAAGUCUCGUCCGGUUGUUCUGAAUCAGAUGGGCUGUGCUUCAGUUACCAUUACACGGAUGUCUCAUCAAAGUCCAGUGGAAUUAUUGCGUUAUUCAACUUAUUACCUUUGUCCUUGAUUCCAUGGAUUGGGUGCGUGGAAAACCUCAUCCGUCACCAGGUAUCAGCCUCCGUGCUAGAACCUUCUUUAAUCUGGCACAUGCUCUAUCCAAUUAAAAUUCCUAUGCUUACAUUCAGACACACAUGCUGGUUUGUUUUCUUCCUUUUUUGGUUUCAGUUAAACUUGAUGUUUGCUCGUUUGCUUGUUUUUUAUCUUCACCCCCGGUUUCUACGACUCCAUUAGUUUUAGUGAAAAUAAAAUACCAUAUGUUUGCA